ensembl:lncRNA
UGGGAUAUGUCUGUGUCCUGUGUUGUGAGGGUGGUGAGGAGGUUAAUAUUACUGUGUGUUUGUGUUCGGUGGUGAGGUGAGGAUACUGUUCUGUGUGUUUGUGUUGAGGGUGGUGAGGAUACUGUUCUGUGUGUGUGUUAGUGGUUAGGGUGGUGAGGGUACGUUCUGUGUGUUUGUGUUAGGGUGGUGAGGAUACGUUCUGUUUGUUUGUGUCUAGGGUGGUGGUGAGGAUACUGUUCUGUGUUGUUUGUGUUAGGGUGGUGAGGAUACUGUUCUGUGUGUGUGCGAGGGUGGUGAGGAUACUGUUCUGUGUGAUUGUGUCGAGGUGCGUCUUCCGGCUGCAGGAACUGUUCUGUGUGUUUGGUUAGGGUGGCGUGGUGUGGGAGGGUUGGUGAGGUAUUUGUGUGUUUUUGUUGAGGGGUGGUGUUGAGGAUUACUGUUUCUGUGUGUGUUGGCGGGUCGGUGAGGAUGCUGUUCUGUGUGUGUGUGAGGGCUGGUCCGAGGAUUUCUCCCCUGAGGCGCUCGGUGAGGAUACUGCUUAUGGCCCUCGUUUGUUUGUU